GGAAUAUUGGUCAAUGGACGCAAGUCUGAACCAGCCAUGCCGCGUGAAGGAUGAAGGUCCUCUGGAUUGUAAACUUCUUUUAUGUGGGAAGAAAUGUCUCGAUUUUUCGGGACUUGACGGUACCAUAGGAAUAAGCCCCGGCUAACUCCGUGCCAGCAGCCGCGGUAAUACGGAGGGUGCAAGCGUUAUCCGGAUUUAAUGGGUUUAAAGGGAGCGCAGGCGGAUAUGUAAAUCAGUGGUGAAAGCCCCGAGCUUAACUCGGGAACUGCCAUUGAUACUAUAUAUCUUGAAUGUUGUUGAGGUUUGCGGAAUGGGUCAUGUAGCGGUGAAAUGCAUAGAUAUGACCCGGAACACCUAUUGCGAAGGCAGCAGGCUAAACAAAUAUUGACGCUGAGGCUCGAAAGCGUGGGGAUCAAA
rnacentral:rRNA from 1 species